GGCUCGUUGGUCUUAGGGGUAUGAUUCUACUUUGGGUGCGAAGAGGUCCCGGGUUCAAAUCCCGGACGACCCA
rnacentral:tRNA from 1 species